rnacentral:tRNA from 1 species
GGGCCUGUAGCCAAGUGGUAAGGCAUGGGACUGCAACUCCCUGAUCGUUGGUUCAAAUCCAAUCGGGCCCU